rnacentral:tRNA from 1 species
AAGGGUGUAGCUCAGCCGUAGAGUGUGUGCUCAGCAUGCACAUGGUCCUGGGUUCAAUCCCUGGUCCCGUUG